rnacentral:sRNA from 2 species
AUAGCCACUCGUACACCCCGGUUCCUCCGUGCCGUCCGCACCACCUGACGACUGCUCGCUACGUGCGAGCUCAUGUUGUUAGCC